CUGUGCAGUUCUGUAUGAUUUAUCAUUGCUGGUGUUCCACCAGGAAUGAUCAAUAAUAUUUUCUAUAUAAUUUCUUUUUUACUUCCAAAUGCACCCAGCAGGGUAGAGAAACUUUUUUAAAAUUGUUGGAAAAAAGUAGAAACCCUUUCCAUAUUUUAACAGAGAAGACCUUAGCAGACUUGGUUUGCAUUUUAAAGGCUUAAAGUCAAAAGCAAAACUAUCUUUCACAUACAAUUUGCUUAUUUUUAAAUAAAAAAUCUCAUGAAAAGCCUUUACAUGUGAGAAAAAGACUUUAAAGUGAAUAGUUUUAACAGAGGAGAUAAAACUUUAAAGAAUGUAUUUUUCACAGUUCAGUUUAGACAAGAAAGCCAGAAAAGCAUACUCCCAGAGGCUCCAAGACCAGCAACAAGCAGAAAGUUUGGCUGAGACUCAGAUAAGGUUAUUUAUCUGCCCUUGCUCACUUCUUUCCUAA
rnacentral:lncRNA from 1 species